UGUAUAACUUGCUGAAAAACACCUAUACUAUAACUUACUGUGUGUACUCUACAUAUUUAUAUUUAUAGAUUGGCAGAAUCAAAAAAGGAUGUAGCUAAUCAGUAUUAUAUUCAAAAACAAUAUAAAAAGGCAUUGAUUGGUUACAAUGAAAUUAUUGCAAUGUGUCCUAAUGUAUUGCGUUACUAUAGCAAUAGAGCAGCAUGUUACAUGAUGCUUGGACAAUAUCGAGAUGCAUUAACAGAUGCUAAAAAAUGUAUCGAAUUAGAACCAACAUAUUCCAAAGCAUACAUAAGAAUGAUCAAAUGUUACUUGAUCAUGGGUGAGCUUGUAGAAGUUGAAACCAUAUUAAAAAAACUUCUAGAGUUUGAUCCUAAUAAUGAAUCAAUAGCUGCAGAGCAAAGAGACUUAGCAUAUGUACACAAAUUUCUUAAAGAUGCUGAUGCUGCUUAUAAUGUUAAGGAUUAUCGCAAGGUCGUAUAUUGUAUGGAUCGUUGUUGUGACAUAAGCACAUCUAGCACACGUUUUAAGCUAACCAAAGCAGAGUGUCUAGCUCUUUUAGGAAGAUACCAAGAAGCUCAGGAUAUUGCAAAUGAUACCUUACACAUUGAUAAGCAAAAUGCUGAUGCGAUAUAUAUCCGCGGAAUGUGCUUAUAUUUCCAAGAUGAUAUUGAUAGAGCUUUUACACAUUUUCAACAAGUACUGCGACUUGCACCAGACCAUGCCAGAGCUUUAGAAAUAUACAAGAGAGCAAAAUGUUUAAAAAAGAAAAAAGAAGAAGGCAAUGCAGCAUUUAAAAGGGAGCAAUAUCAAGAAGCAUAUAAUCUUUAUAACGAAGCAUUAACUAUUGAUCCACACAAUAUUAUGACUAAUGCUAAAUUACAUUUCAACAAAGCAACAGUAGCAGCUAAGUUAGGGAGAUUGAAUGAGUCUAUAGCAGAAUGUACUCAUGCCCUAAUACUUAAUGAAAAUUAUUUGAAAGCUCUUAUCAAAAGAGCAACCAUUUAUAUGGAAGUUGAAGAAUAUGAAGAAGCAGUCCGAGAUCUCGAACAAGCAUGUAAAAUGGAUAAGAAUAAUCGUGAAACCAAACGAUUACUUGCAAAAGCAAAAUUACUGCUAAGAAAGUCCAAGAGGAAAGAUUAUUACAAAAUUCUAGGUAUUGAUAAAAAUGCAUCAACUGAAGAUAUCAAAAAAGCAUAUAGGAAACGAGCUCUAGAUCACCAUCCAGAUCGUCAUGCCAAUGCCAGUGAAGGGGAAAAAAGAGAACAAGAAAAAAAAUUUAAAGAAGUUGGAGAAGCUUAUGGAAUUCUCUCAGAUCCCAAAAAACGAUCUCGUUAUGAUCGUGGCCAUGAUCUAGAUGAUAAUGAGAGCAGUUUUCAAGAUAUGGAUCCCAAUGCUAUGUUCCACUUUUUCUGUCAAGAUGGAGGAGGUUUUCAAUUUCAGUUUCAGGAUGGCUUUCCUGGUAGUUUCCAAUUUCAAUUUCCAGGUUAAGAAUAUUUCCCGAAAAGCAUAAUACAUUACAUCUCAAUAUAGCUGUGUAUAUGAUAUUUGAAUCUAUUUUAGUAAAUACUGCAUCGAAUUUUUUAAAUAUUUACAUCGACGAUGCAAUAUGAUGUAGUUAUUUGCGUUUCGUAAUCUUGAAAUAGGCAUUCAUCCGCGCAAUUAUAUGCAGUUACAUAAGUAAUUUAUUUAAGCAUGACUAUACUAUUGUAAAUAUUACAUUUACAAUCCUGUUAUAUUAUAUAGGAUAAAUCUUCGUUUUAAUGCAUUAAUUAAGAAUGUUAAGGUUAAGGUUAACGUCAAAGUGCAAGCAGGCAGUUUGGAGACCUGAAACAUGCUGGUACCUGACGAAACCUUUUUGAAUUAUAUUUUUUAAUUCAAAUCUUAAAUAACUAUUUGUUGUCUCAUUAAGUUCAACAUAUUAUUUAAUAUUUAAUAUAUUGAAAAAGAUGACAACUUUAACUUUUAUUUACAUUUUGGUAUUAAUUACCGGAACUGUGUUUAAAAGUUCGUAAAACCGAAGAUUUACUAUAAUUUCACUAAUUAUUGAAAAAUAUGUUUGAUGUACAGUCAAAUCUCUUUCUUUUGGAAUCGUUGAGACCGAGCGCAUUUUUUUCCUUUUUAUUUUAGAUUCUCGUUUUAAUUCCUAUUCUUACUUGUAAUAUAUAAAGGGAUAAAACUUAAAAUUUACAGAAAAUCUAUUCUCUGAAAUAGAGAGAUUUGGCUAUAUUAACAAAAUUUAGUUUUUCCUUAAUUUUAUGCCUAGUUAUAAAUUCAUUGCUACGACUCAGAGCAAAAUGAUUGUAAGAAUAUUGAUUAAAACAAUGCAAACUUAAA